rnacentral:rRNA from 1 species
CAAAGGAAUUGACGGGACCCGCACAAGCGGUGGAUGAUGUGGAUUAAUUCGAUGCAACGCGAAAACCUUACCUACCCUUGACAUGUCCGGAAUCCUGAAGAGAUUUGGGAGUGCUCGAAAGAGAACCGGAACACAGGUGCUGCAUGGCUGUCGUCAGCUCGUGUCGUGAGAUGUUGGGUUAAGUCCCGCAACGAGCGCAACCCUUGUCAUUAGUUGCCAUCAUUUAGUUGGGCACUCUAAUGAGACUGCCGGUGACAAACCGGAGGAAGGUGGGGAUGACGUCAAGUCCUCAUGGCCCUUAUGUCCAGGGCUACACACGUGCUACAAUGGCCGGUACAAAGGGGCGCAAGACCGCGAGGUGGAGCAAAUCCCAAAAAACCGGUCUCAGUUCGGAUUGGAGUCUGCAACUCGGCUCCAUGAAGUUGGAAUCGCUAGUAAUCGCGUAUCAGCAUGACGCGGUGAAUACGUUCCCGGGCCUU